GAUGAACGCUAGCGGCAGGCUUAAUACAUGCAAGUCGAGGGACAGCACAGGUAGCAAUACUGGGUGGUAACCGGCAAACGGGUGCGGAACACGUACACAACCUUCCUUUAAGUGGGGGAUAGCCCAGAGAAAUUUGGAUUAAUACCCCGUAAUAUAGUUGAAUGGCAUCAUUUGAUUAUUAUAGCUACGGCGCUUAAUGAUGGGUGUGGGGCGUGAUUAGAUAGUUGGCGGUGUAACGGCCCACCAAGUCUAUGAUCAGUAGCUGAUGUGAGAGAAUGGUCAGCAACACGGGGACUGAGACACGGGCCCGACUCCUACGGGAGGCAGCAGUAAGGAAUAUUGGUCAAUGGACGCAAGUCUGAACCAGCCAUGCCGCGUGAAGGAUUAAGGUCCUCUGGAUUGUAAACUUCUUUUAUUUGGGUCGAAAAAGGGCCUUUCUAGGUCAACUGACGGUACCAGAUGAAUAAGCACCGGCUAACUCCGUGCCAGCCGCCGCGGUAACAC
rnacentral:rRNA from 1 species